AAGUCGUAACAAGGUUUCCGUAGGUGAACCUGCGGAAGGAUCAUUACCGAGUUCAGGGUGCCGUAAAAAGCGCCCGACCUCCAACCCUUUGACUACGAACAAUGUUGCCUCGGCGGGUCGUCGAGCGCCUAGCAAUAGGCCUCGCCGUCGGCUCCUAGGAGCCCUCGUGCGCCCGUCGAAGGAUUGAAAUAAACCACAUUUGAAACCAGCCCUCUGAGUGAAAUUAUAAUACUUCAAAA
rnacentral:misc_RNA from 1 species